AUUGAACGCUGGCGGCAGGCUUAACACAUGCAAGUCGAGCGGAGUGAUGGUGCUUGCACUAUCACUUAGCGGCGGACGGGUGAGUAAUGCUUAGGAAUCUGCCUAUUAGUGGGGGACAACAUCUCGAAAGGGAUGCUAAUACCGCAUACGUCCUACGGGAGAAAGCAGGGGAUCACUUGUGACCUUGCGCUAAUAGAUGAGCCUAAGUCGGAUUAGCUAGUUGGUGGGGUAAAGGCCUACCAAGGCGACGGUCUGUAGCGGGUCUGAGAGGAUGAUCCGCCACACUGGGACUGAGGCACGGCCCAGACUCCUACGGGGGGCAGCAGUGGGGAAUAUUGGACAAUGGUGGGAACCCUGAUCCAGCCAUGCCGCGUGUGUGAAGAAGGCCUUAUGGUUGUAAAGCACUUUGAGCGAGGAGGAGGCUCUUUUGGUUAAUACCCAAGAUGAGUGGACGUUACUCGCAGAAUAAGCACCGGCUAACUCUGUGCCAGCCGCCGCAGUAA
rnacentral:rRNA from 1 species